rnacentral:lncRNA from 1 species
UUCCAGCUCAUGACAAGCCUGUCUCUCCUGUUCUUUCUGCUUCUUCAUCACUUCCUCCAGGCUAGCUGGCCUGUGAGCCACUGGGCAAAUUCUCCUGCUUCUCCCUCCCGUCUCUUACUCAGCAUUCUACGAUUUCAAAUGAGAGCCACUGCACCCAGCUUUUUGAGUGGAUCGCAGGGAUCAGACCCAGGACAUCCAGCUUGUACAGCAAGUGCCUUCAUUCGAUCUGCACACAGGAAGGCAUUGGACUACAGUUGUAACGGUUGUGAGUUGCCAUGUGGGUGCUGGGAAUUGAAGUCAGGGCCUCUGGAAAAGCAGCCAGUGCUCUUAACUGAGGAGCCAUCUCUCUAGCCCCUGUUUUUGAAAUUUUUUAUCACUCUUAUCUGCCUAUUUCUCUCAUGAAGUCUUCUUGUACUUGCUGCUAAACUCUG